rnacentral:misc_RNA from 1 species
UUGUUGCUUACCUGUCUCGAUGGUAUUCAUUGGCCGCGUUGCUCGUUUUCAUCUCGCGCUCUCAUGGGGCGUGAGAUGAACUAGUUGGUGCCUUGCGUGUUCCUUCAUGAGCCAUUGGCUUAUGCAUCGGCCCAUGCUCGGUAGCUGGUUCUCUCGGAUGCUGAAAAUUAUGUGGGCAAAGGGUUCGAACCCCUUCAUCACAAGCCCAAGAACAGCGCUCGUCGCUCAAACCGAAAGACGUUGCUCCUCGCCUUGGCCUUAUUGAGCCUUCGGUUCUUGUAAUGGCCAUGCGUCGUGCCAUCGUCUCGA